UUAUGGCUCAGGAUGAACGCUAGCUACAGGCUUAACACAUGCAAGUCGAGGGGCAGCAUGAGAUUAGCUUGCUAAUCUUGAUGGCGACCGGCGCACGGGUGAGUAACGCGUAUCCAACCUUCCCCCUACUCAGGCAUAGCCCGGUGAAAACCGGAUUAACUCCUGAUAGUUUCACUAGAUGGCAUCUGACGGUGAAUAAAGCUCAGCGGUAAGGGAUGGGGAUGCGUCUGAUUGGCUUGUUGGCGGGUAACGGCCCACCAAGGCGACGAUCAGUAGGGGUUCUGAGAGGAAGGUCCCCCACAUUGGAACUGAGACACGGUCCAAACUCCUACGGGAGGCAGCAGUGAGGAAUAUUGGUCAAUGGGCGCGAGCCUGAACCAGCCAAGUAGCGUGCAAGGAUGACGGCCCUAUGGGUUGUAAACUGCUUUUGUAUGGGAAUAAAGUCAGGGACGUGUCCCUGUUUGCAUGUACCAUAAGAAUAAGGACCGGCUAAUUCCGUGCCAGCAGCAGC
rnacentral:rRNA from 1 species